rnacentral:lncRNA from 1 species
GAUUCUCUCUCCAAUAUAUGUAGUGAGAACAGAACCAAGCGUUAACAACGUAACAGAAGAAACAACCCAUUCCGUGCUGAAGUCAUUAACGUAAGGACGAAGGUAAAACACUUGUCCGAUUGCUUGUACUAUCGCAAAACCAACUGAAGCAUAUCUAGUAUACUGAAGAAUCUUUUUUCUACCAGCUUCACCUUCUUUUUUCUGAAGAUCUUGCAACUUUGGAUAGACUUGAGCAAGAAGCUGAAACACAAUCUGAGCGUUGAUGAAAGGAACAAUCCCGAGAGAACAUAUACCAAGUCUACCUAUGCCUCCACCAGAAAAUGUAU